GAUGAACGCUGGCGGCGUGCCUAAUACAUGCAAGUCGAGCGAACAGACGAGGAGCUUGCUCCUCUGACGUUAGCGGCGGACGGGUGAGUAACACGUGGAUAACCUACCUAUAAGACUGGGAUAACUUCGGGAAACCGGAGCUAAUACCGGAUAAUAUAUGGAACCGCAUGGUUCAAUAGUGAAAGACGGUUUUGCUGUCACUUAUAGAUGGAUCCGCGCCGCAUUAGCUAGUUGGUAAGGUAACGGCUUACCAAGGCAACGAUGCGUAGCCGACCUGAGAGGGUGAUCGGCCACACUGGAACUGAGACACGGUCCAGACUCCUACGGGAGGCAGCAGUAGGGAAUCUUCCGCAAUGGGCGAAAGCUUGACGGAGCAACGCCGCGUGAGUGAUGAAGGUCUUCGGAUCGUAAAACUCUGUUAUUAGGGAAGAACAAAUGUGUAAGUAACUAUGCACGUCUUGACGGUACCUAAUCAGAAAGCCACGGCUAACUACGUG
rnacentral:rRNA from 1 species